AUGGUUAUUAAUUUCAAGCAACAGGACUACAGGACUACAUUGUUUAGUGAAGGCACACAAGUAGUAAAGUUGGGAACAAUCAAUAUGUAUUGCAAGGAUAGAAUAUGUCAUAAUAGAGAAAAAUUGUCUCAAUGGAAGAGCAGGCUACCAUGCCAUGCAAGUGCCCCCAACGGACGAGCAAAUAGGAGGCGAAAUCCGAAGCAGAAAUUGUUUGUUAAAGUAAAAGCGCAAGUGAGCAAUGCAAAUCAGUCCAUGUUAGCAAAACCUGCUUGA